rnacentral:rRNA from 1 species
GUCAGCCGCCGCGGUAAAACCAGCACCUCAAGUGGUCAGUAUGAUUAUUGGGCCUAAAGCAUCCGUAGCCGGCUCUGUAAGUUUUCGGUUAAAUCUGUACGCUCAACGUACAGUCUGCCGGGAAUACUGCAGAGCUAGGGAGUGGGAGAGGUAGACGGUACUCGGUAGGAAGGGUUAAAAUCCUUUGAUCUAUUGAUGACCACCUGUGGCGAAGGCGUUCUACCAGAACACGUCCGACGGUGAGGGAUGAAAGCUGGGGGAGCAAACCGGAUUAGAUACCCGGGUAGUCCCAGCUGUAAACUAUGCAAACUCAGUGAUGCAUUGGCUUGUGGCCAAUGCAGUGCUGCAGGGAAGCCGUUAAGUUUGCCGCCUGGGAAGACGUACGCAAGUAUGAAACUCAAAGGAAUUGACGG